rnacentral:rRNA from 1 species
CCUACGGGAGGCUGCAGUGGGGAAUAUUGCACAAUGGGGGAAACCCUGAUGCAGCGACGCCGCGUGAGUGAAGAAGUACUUCGGUAUGUAAAGCUCUAUCAGCAGGGAAGAAAAAAGACGGUACCUGACUAAGAAGCCCCGGCUAACUACGUGCCAGCAGCCGCGGUUAUACGGAGGGGGCAAGCGUUAUCCGGAUUUACUGGGUGUAAAGGGAGCGUAGUCGGUGCGUUAAGUCUGAAGUGAAAGCCCGGGGCUUAACCCCGGGACUGCAUUGGAAACUGGCGCGCUAGAGGGCUGGAGAGGUAAGUGGAAUUCCUAGUGUAGCGGUGAAAUGCGUAGAGAUUAGGAGGAACACCAGUGGCGAAGGCGGCUUACUGGACAGUAACUGACGUUGAGGCUCGAAAGCGUGGGGAGCAAACAGGAUUAGAUACCCGAGUAGUC